rnacentral:tmRNA from 1 species
GGGGGCGAUAUAGGUCUCGACAGGAAGGAAGCAGGGAUAAGGUAGCCUGUGGAGUUCGUCGUGAACUCCUUAAAAACGCGGCAACAAAUAACUGCCAAUACGGCAAACGCUCUGGCUGCAUAAAUAAUGCAGUCACCCGUCCGUAAAAGAGUUCCCUGCUCUUUGUGGAACGGGUCGGCAAACAGGGAAUUCUCUGCGGGGGUUAACCUUUUUCCCCGAAGGGAAUCAAUAAAAAGGUUGCGGAGAGCAGAUGGUGUCAGGAGGCAGAUGCUUUCCAAAGGACAAAAUUCCUGACUAUACAGGUAGAAUCCUUAUUGAUGCCCUUUCUGGACGCGGGGGCAGUACCCGCCGCCUCCACCA